CUUACUACCGAAGCUACGGCAUCAGUAAUGAUGGGUAGGGGAGCUUCCCAUACGGGUUGAAGCAUGACCGUAAGGACAUGUGGACAGUAUGGGAGUGAGAAUGUUGGCAUGAGUAGCGAGAUGUGGGUGAGAAUCCCACAGGCCGUAAACCCCAGGUUUCCAGGGGAAGGUUCGUCCGCCCUGGGUUAGUCGGGACCUAAGCUGAGGCCGAAAGGCGUAGGGGAUGGACAACAGGUUGAUAUUCCUGUACUACCGAUAACCGUUUGAGAGAGGGGAUGACACAGUAGGAUAAGCUAAGCACACUGUUGGUUAUGUGUGCCCAAGCAUUGAGGCAGUCAAAGUAGGCAAAUCCGCUUUGAUAAUGCUGGGAUGUGAUGGGGAGCGAAAUUUAGUAGCGAAGUAGCUGAUUUCACACUGUCAAGAAAAGUCUCUAUCGAGGUUAAAGGUACCCGUACCGCAAACCGACACAGGUGGGUGAGGAGAGUAUCCUAAGGCCAGCGAGAGAACUGUUGUUAAGGAACUCGGCAAAAUGACCCCGUAACUUAGGGAUAAGGGGUGCCACCAUCAGGUGGCCGCAGAGAAUAGGCCCAAGCGACUGUUUACCAAAAACAUAGGUUUCUGCUAAGUCGCAAGACGAUGUAUAGG
rnacentral:rRNA from 1 species